UCUGGUUCCCGUGCCCAGGUCAUGGCUGGUGACAGCUGUGGGCUGCCCCUGCAAUGUCUGAAUCCUCCCUGCAGAGCUGUGCUGGAAGCUUCACCUGGCUGGGAUGAAGUAUGGGCCUGGUAGAAUCAUUGUCCUUACUGGGAUACCUGUGGGAUACCUGAAAACAAAGGAACGUCGGGAAGCGAUGAGGAUCCAGAGCAGUCUGCAGGGCACAUAUCUAUUUGUCCAGAGAGGCACCCCAACCAUGCCCAGCGCUGAAGUCUCGGGACAGCUCGUCUCUUGAUGUGUCAGUGUCCAUGAAGUCCUCUUCCCUACUGCACGGUCCAGACUAAAAGUAAAUUGCUAAUCCUCUUUCACACAGACUUUCCUGAGGGUGCAGUAAAACAAUCGAGGGACAAGAAAAUGUCUUUUAGUCUUUCCAGUGGAAAACUUAAGAAUUGCUCUCUAAAGGAAAUCUAUAAAAUAGAGCAUAUCACAUUACAAACUGGUGUCAACCUCUCUUUUAGAUAAAGCACCAUAAUCUAGGAGCUAAUUUUACCCCAGCUAGGGACCCGAUCCAACAUGUUUAAACCAAUUCCUCCCGCCUUUCCACCUUUCUCUGCCUUUUCUUCUCCCUACCCAAGACGCGUGAUGGAAACACCCAGGUUUUCAGCGCAGGAAUAAGCGGAGGGCUUUCCUUUCACCCAUGUCCGCGUAACCUUUCCUCCCAGCCUUGCUCCGACCGUCCCAGGCCACCAGCCCCUGCAUCCCAUCUGAAAGAAUGUCGCCUGUGAGGCAGAAAUUCCCACCAUGGGAAUCGCGCCGCUGUGUCGCACAACAAAGGCCACCGCAUUGUGUCCCUGUUAAGCGGGUGUUAAAAUGCGCAUAUGUUGCCAGGGCUAUUGCAGGCGAGGCCCAUUUAGGAAGCGGAGGUUUUUCCCGACCGCUGGCUGCUCUGAAUCCCCCAUAUUAGCACAUUAGCGCACAUGCGGCCGCCUUAUCAGAUUAGCUACACUUGUCACAGAUUAGUUCACCCUGUGAAGGAGCCGCAAAGGUACCUUUGACCAUUCAUUCAAAAGAGCCAGAAAAGUUUUUUUUUCUUGUCUUCAACCAUCAGAGUGCAAAGCGAAUUAAAAGGAAAGUCUCUCUCCCAUUCUCUCUCACCCCCUCAUUUUGGUAAAAGGAUAACUAAAGGAUAGGUACUACUGAGGACUGGCACAGAGAGACAUAUUAAUGGACACCUAAUAUUCAUCUAGAAAAUAUUUAUUUAAGCCAUUAAAAACAUUGAUGUGUUUUCCUUCCUCAGCAGUGUCAAUAGUCCUUUGAGAAAUGACCUUUCUGAAGCUCAGAGUAGAUUUUUUAAUGUUUUGCUUUUCUGUCUCCCCCUUCCCCUCCUUUUUCAUUACGGUUAAUUUGCAGCAUGGUUCAGUGGUCUCUAUUCUGCAGAUUAGUGGUGGGGAAGAGAAAAAGCCUUGCUAAUGGCUCGUUACAUUAUUUUUUUAACCCAUCUUGCUCUUAAAAGGUUUUGAUAGCUGGUAAAACAAACAGUGACUCAAAAUACCUUUGGUAUGACUUGCAGUCUACACAGGCAGUAAAGACUGAGCCUAGAGAGGACAAUAAUGCCUUGGAAGGGCAGUGACAACAGGGACACUCAUCUCUGAAUGAACUUGUAGUGAAGGGGGCCUAAAAAACUACAAAAACAUACAGCUGAAAUUGCUGGUUAGCAAUUUCACACCUUUGGCGCAAAAAAAAAAAAAAAAAAAAAAAUGUGGAAGGAAACUGUGGUGAGGAAGGAAUGCAGCAAUUCCUCACACCUCGGUGCUUUCUAGGCGAGGUGUUCCACAUCGUUGUGCCAGGUGUAGCAUUACUGAGCUCAGCUGGAGCUUGUCCACCGCUGCACAUUAGCUGUGCUGCCUGCAUGUGGCAGAGGGGACAAGUCCAAGACAAACGUGCUUUUCCAGCACUGAUGUCCCCUGUUUGGGCCUUUUUGGUGUUUUUUUAAACUUUGAUUGCAGGUAACCAAACUGCAUUAUCAUUGGUAGAACCUAACUGCUAAUACUUUUUCCAACCUCUUCCACAAAUACUGGAGCACAAUCAAUGAUAUUGUUUACUAGUCUGUUUCUCCACACAGGCUGAAUCCUGGCUGGUUGCAUGUGCUGUUUGUAAACAGCAGAAAGUACAAUAGAUUGUUUGUAAGUGCACUAGCAUGUUAGCAGGGACUGGAGUUUCAGUGCUUCUGAGCAAACAGCCUGACAGAGUGCCCUGAAGUGUCUGUAAUCAUACUGUCCUAAGAGCACAACUUUAGGGUCAGAGCUCUUCUUUUUGAUUCUGGGAUCAUUUUUUGACAGCUAAAUCCUAGUGGUGACUCAAUUUGUAGAUCCUGUUGAAAUGCAACGAUAUUUCUCCUAUGGUAAUUUUUUAAUUUAUUGUUUUCAAGUCAUAGUGCCACACCAAUAAGAGAGGGUUGUGAAGGAUAUGGGAAAACCAUUGAUUUUGACAGGGAAAAACUGUGCCAAGGAGGUCUAAGCUAUAAACAACUCCAAUUUAUGAUCUAGAGAGUGAGGUAACAGCAGUAACAGCAAAGCAGGGAGAAAUAUGUGGGCGAAAUCGAACAGCUGGACUCUGAUUUUGCCUCCUCUUAGUUGUUGAAAAUGGUCUCCAUGUCAGAAAGUUACCAGAAGAGUUCAUUAGGGCAUCUGUUUCUUCUCUUGUCAGGAAGGAUGAUAGAACAUUACAUUAUUAAUUUCCUGUGUUGUUUUCUGAUAAAAAGCAUCAGUAUUUUUAUUUUUAUAUUUCUACAUGCACCUAGUUCAGUAUAGUAAUUUCACAGUCCUAUUGUGUUAUAUAUAAAAAUAUAUAUGGUGCUGAUUUCUUUUUUUUUUGUGUAUAUUUUUUGUUUUGAAAUAGUGUGAUAUGAAAAGGAAUAUUGAAAAUAGAAUUCUAGUUAAAAAUUAUUUCCCUGACAGUCUAGGAAUUACGUCUUUAUUUCUGUGAAAAGCAUUUUUUCAGUCUUCCACUGACACCUUUCAAAUGCACCUACAGAGAGUCUAUCUAGUUUAUGGACUGCCUUGAGUCAUUAAUCUGAAUUUAGCAAAGCUAUUUUGUGGAUGACCUUUCUGGUUUUAUCCCAGAGACAGAAAAACUGCAGAACUAAAGGCCUAAAUUAAUCUCUUCCUAAAAAAAGCAUGUAAGACUCUGGGCCAGAGUAUGAAUCUUCUGUUUCCAUCAGUUAUUGUUACUGUGCCCCCCCCCCCCCCAAGUACCACCUAUUUUUCCAGUGUGAGUAAAGGUUCCCAGUUUAAGAGAUCCUGUUGAAUGUGAAAGUGCCGACUUUCACACCUCCCUUAACUGAGUGUUGUCUGCAGCAAUAUGUUUUGGUGCUGAUUACAUAAAUUUGAGCAUUUUCCAGAACCUUGAUUUAAAUCCAAGCAGUAAUCUUCCAUGCCCCCAACCCAAAAUUUAUCCUCAUUCUACUAAAUAUUUGAUUUUCAAUCUAAAUGAUAAGACUGUCUUGCCUUGAGCAACAGAUCAAGACCUGUGGAAUUUUACGUUUUGAUUCACGUAGCUGGGUCCAUGGCUCUUACUACUUUUCUAAUAACUUUGUGUUUCUCCUCUCUCACAACGUCAGGCAGUGUGGCAGCCUGGUCUGCGAGUUACCAAUGCAGUCAUGACAUAAAGCAUGUGGGAUCAGAAAGCAGUAGGGAGGCAAUGCCAUUGGGGAAGGACCUACUGCUGGCUGUCCACCAUAUGUGGCAGAAAGAGAUGAAAGCUUGGACAGCAUGUUUUCUGGCAGGAGCUGAGCAUCACUGCUCCGUUCCACAGCCCUGUCACCUACCCACUUGCUUCUGUCACCUCAAGUGGUCUGGCUCAUGUGCAGAGAAAAAACCUAACAUGGCACACAGCUCUGAGACUUCAGUUCCUUGACAGAGCUCUUAGAAGAAACUUGGCUUUGGUCAUUUUAUGACCUAGUCAAAUGCAAAACACAAUUUUAUUUGAACUAUCCAUGAACUUUUAAAAACUAAUGUCUAUCAAAAUAUCAGCAACACAUUAUUAAAUUUUAUAAGUAGCCCUCACUUGUUUCAACAAGCAUCUCCUCAUUUUAGCACACUGGAUUAAACUCAGGCUUCAUCAGACAUGAACAGUAAAUCAAUUAUUUUAAAGACAGGGGAGCUGCUUUGCUUACAAGUCUUUCCCAUGCUGAUGAACUCCUGCAAGCUCCAUGGCUGCUGACCUGGUCUGGGAAUCUUGUUCUAAUUGAUAAUGUUGCUCAUUGUGAGAACAGCAGCUACGCAAAUCCCGAUGCUUGGUGUGCGGAUUUGCAUUCCAAUACUCUCUGCGCUCUGUAAGGGUGCGCAGGGCUGGUGUGCUGGCACUCAAAGCACAAUGGGAAUUAUGAAUAUGUGUCUCUGGGCCAACAAUUAUUUCCAUGUGCUUGUUAAAUGAGUGCAGGGAGAGGAGACUUUCCUCUUGUUUAGUCUCUAUCGCUGUCUUUGGUGCUGUAUUGCAUUUUAAUAUAAACCUCCCCCCACAACUGCCUCACCCUAGCCCUGUUAGAUACUUGGUCUGGCUUUCAUUAGAAAACACCAGUGCAUGAAUAGCUGUAAGUUCAGGGCUGGAGGGCACCUUUGCUAAAGCUUGAAUCUUUGGUAAAUAACUUUCUGCACUUUUGGAAGUGUUAAAAGUUAACUAAGCACCUAAUGAAAGAGUAGCUGAAUAACAGAGUUAGUCAAACUACUCCCACUAGUCUUUUUUGCUAGUAGGGGUAAAUAAAUAGUAAAUGUUUUUUCAGCCAUUAUAAAUUGUUGGCAGCUCAGACUUCCUAUAGUGUGUAGUUCACAGGGCUAAAGAAUGUCAUGCUAGUAUAUUGCCCUGCCUAACUAUCAAAAGCAACAGGUUUGGUAGGACGAAUUAAGCUUUGCCUUCAGUCUGAACAGGCUGGGCUACAAAAAGGACAGUAUCAGAGCAACAGCUGGCUUAGUCACAUAAUUCACUGCUAUACAGCUGGCAUUUCUUAUUUUCAUUUCACUUUCCUUUGUUUUAGAGACAAAAAGGGAAGCCCUUGGGGGAAAAGACUUCCAAGUUUAGUGCUUGACCAAAGCUGCCUGACUCUGGCCUCAGCAGCCUUUAUUGACUGAACUUUAACAUUUCUUUCUCUGAAUGUAACAUUGACACUGGCACCUCUGUCCAGCCACAGAACCAGUACCAAACAGGUCCUAGUGCAUGGCAACAAGCUUUCUCAUCUCACUGCUCUUCCAGCUGCUGAGGAGUCAUCUGCCAUGGACAACCCCUAGGGUUAAUAGAUAAAUCACUCUGUACAGUGAUAAACGUACAGUCUGCCCUUAGACUGCCCAAUUAGGUGUUACUCUGUGCUGUGUGGCUUCUAUUUCAGGAAAUGGUUUGAGGUCGUUAAACUGUUCUUCACAUGGAAACAAAAGCACUUGCCAGUGCCAGCUCUACUGUAAUUUGAAACCUGUGGUCUGUACCAGGGACUACACUAUGGAUGGCCAUGGGAAUGGGUUGGGCAAUGGCUGCUCCUCUGCCAGGUGCCAAGUGUCUUUGCUUCCUCCAUUCCUGUUCCACUGGGCUGUGUGGCUGAGGGCAGCCCAGCUCCUAAGCCAGCUGUACCAGCCAUCUCAUUUCAGUGCCCUGUUCUUAUGGAGAAGGACCAGUGAUACCCUGAUCAGGUAUAAUAAUAUAUGAAGCAAGAAGAAGCUGUAGUGAAUAAAAAACUCCUUGCAUUUACAGAGCAACUUAAAAAUUAUUGCUGCAAGGAACACUUUUCAGUUUAAUAUUACUGGCCCCAAAUUAGACUGUAUUGCUCUUGCUAAAAGUAUCAUUUCUCUUUGAUUCUCUUUGACACUUAAUUUGAUGGAGAAUACAUAAAAAGAUCAGAAAAAAAAGAAGAAAGAAAUGAAGAAUACACUAGAUAUUUUAUCCAAGGUACCGUGGUACUGUAUAUUGUGAUGUAUGACUAAAUAUUUUUAAGUCCUCAUAACAUUGUGCAGUUCUGCAGUCCUGAACACUGCCUUCUUUCUUUCUUUCGUUCUUUAUACUGUGCUAUAAGAACAGCUGUAUGGGUUCCUGAAGCAGCAAGUCAAAUAUUUUGCCUAUAAGGUCACUUUUGUUAUCACAUAUGGUGUCGUAAGGAAAUCUCCAACUUAGUUUCAAAACAGCUUUGGCAGGACCUACGAUUCAAGCCAAGAAAGCCUCCUCCUCCUUUUCCCAGCUUCUGUCAACACCAAGUCAAGGGUCGGCAACCUAAAUCCAGCUCAUAUGUAGUUGGCUAGCUCAUUUUUUUAUUUCUCCAGGCACAAAAACAGACUUCACCACUAAGAUAAUGGCCCUCCCUUCCUGCAGUGAAUGAGGUCUAGAAAACCCCAUUCUCAGGUGCAUUGUAUAACCUAGACUUUUGCUUUCUGUACUUGGGUCAGACAUGCACCAUACAUUUCAGUUAAAACAAACAAUGUUCCCAACAUAUCUGGCUUUUUCUUUUGUCACAGUUUCUUAACAGGAUUUCACUUGUCAGCCAGAAAGGUCAGGGAAAAGAUAAAUCUUUAUUGGGAUAAACUGCAGUGUAUUAAAUACUUACAGUGUAUCUCACCUUUUGUAAUAACCAGUCUAUGUUUUUCUUGGGCUAUAUCUUAUGUAUUUUGCCAUAAAUAUGUUCUUAGAGGCUUUUUGUGUGUCUAUGCUAAAAAUAGAAACAGGGAUACGCAUAUUGCAUUCUCUGUUCUGUUUCCUGCCUUUGAAGAAUCUCUGUGGACUGGAGGAUAGACUUAGGAAGAGUUAGGAUAGGUACCCUUUUGGAUCUGACUAACUGCAAGUAAGUCUUCAUGCAAGAUGAGGCUCUUUUCCCCCACUCAUCAGACAGCUGAAUUUGGAUAUGAGUACUGGAUCCACGAGCCUUGAAGUCUUCAAGCAUCUGAUCAGGCUCAAACAGCUUCCUCUGGACUUUCAAAGACUGCUUGUAGACCUACCUUUUUUAUUCAUGACAUUUUUAUCUCCCUAGACUUAAGUCAUGCUUCUGUUUCAGAAGUUCUUGGAGAGACAAGCUGUCCAUUGAUAUGUGGGUUUUCUCUUUUCUUGUAUAAACCAGCUGAUUAAUUUUACCCUGACACCUUCAAUAAUGCAGCAGUUUUGUCAGAUACAUGAGACUGAAACCGUUCAUACACUGUCUACUUUUCAUUCACAACUGCUCAGCUGGGGCAUCAUAGAGACAAAGCCUAGCUCUUAGAGAAAGUGAGAAUCAAAGUGAUCAAGAGGUGCUCUGAAUUUUUUAUUUUGACAAAUUACUGAUAUUGCAGGACGAAGAACACCACCAUGUUGUGUAAAAAACCAACUAUAAAAACUGAAGUGCAGCAGCCAAACACUGAAAAAACCCAGCUGAAACUGUGUGCAAAAGAAAGGAGGUUUAGGAAGAGAAAGGAUAGAAGGUGUUGAGGAAGAUAAUAGGUAGUGGCAGAGUUCAUUUAUAAAACGCCAUCUUUUUAAAAGGAAAAAACCAAAAUCGGGGGAAAAAAAGGGAUUGUAGUGGAGGGGGUUGCUAUAGUGAGAGUAAUCUUAUGACUUAAUGUGUGUGUUCUCAAAAGACUGGAUGUUCCAGUUCAGUGAAGCAAGAUGGCCCCCUGCAGUAUUGUUAGCCCCCUCACAAAGAAAUUUUGCUUCAUCUAGGAGCAUCACUGUACAAAACACUAACAGAACUGCUGUGGUUUACCAUUAGUCUCACUCAAAACACAAGGUAAACAUUCUUUGCAUUAAAACAUCAGUCAAAAGUAGAAGUCCUCAAUUACCAGCUUUGCUCUCUCUGCUUUUGAAUGCCUCCUGUGCGGUUCUGGUGUGAGAUU